GGAUUGAAGUAACAUAGGAUCCUUUUGUGUGUGGCAUCAAACCGCUCUGUGUUUGACACCUAACGGGGAAAGGAGUGGGGAAAGACCAGCAUUUUCGCAUUCUCUGUAUCACUGUAUGUAAAUCUUUUCUGUUUUAUUCUCUAAAAAUCUUUCUCCCAUUUUAAAUGUUCUCAGUCUCCUUGCGUCUUCGUCCCCAGAUUCAUCGACUAUCCAUUAAUUUGCGAUCCAAGUCGGGCCUUUUCCCUGUAAAUAAACCCUUCUUCUCGAUGAUGACAACAACAAACCAAAAAAUGGAAGGAAAAAGAGGAGAAGAAAAUCAUUCAAAAAAUUCUACAUUAUCAAGUUCCAAAGUGGAGAAAAUGCAGGAUAUCUUAGAUGAAGACUCAACAGGUGGUUGGGACAAAUGCUGGGAGCAAGGAUUGACACCAUGGGAUUUGGGUCAGCCAACGCCUGUACUGCUACAACUUCUUGACAAGGAAACCCUUCCCAAAGGCAGAGUUCUAGUCCCUGGAUGUGGGGCUGGACACGACGUGAUUGCAAUUGCAAAUCCUGAACGCUAUGUUGUAGGCCUGGAAUUAUCCGAAAAUGCCAUUAAGAGAGCAAGAGAGGUAUCUUCGUUAUCACCAAAUGCAAAAUAUUUUGAGUUUAUAGAGACGGACUUCUUCACUUGGCGUCCACCUGUGUUAUUUGAUCUCAUAUUUGAUUAUACGUUUUUCUGUGCAAUUGAACCUCGCAUUAGAGCAUCUUGGGGAACACGAAUACAUGAGCUGUUGAAACCAGAUGGGGAGCUCAUAACUCUAAUGUUUCCUACUGAUGAUCGUGAUGGAGGUCCACCUUAUAAAGUCUCUGUGGCUGAUUAUGAAAAGGUUUUGCAUCCCCGGGGAUUCAAGGCGACUUCUAUAAUAGAUAACGAGCUAGCUGUAGGACGACGAAGGGGAUGCGAGAAGCUUGGGAGAUGGAAGAGGUUUCUAAAUCAUUCUCAAUUAUGAAUAAUCAAAAGAGAAGAAGCUAGUACUAGUGCCUAGUAACAUUUCAUCUUUCUUAGCUCAUAAACACAGGCAGAGAUUAGUGACAAUCAAAAUGACAACCAUCCUCUGAUGAUACAAUCCCAUUUAGAGCAAUAGCAUAUUCCUUUUUAUACAGCAUGUAAUAUACUAACUUAGGUUGUGGUCGAAUCAGUGGUGUAUCAAUCCAAUGGCUGCGAUAUCUGCGCGAAAAUGCCAGCAGGAAAACUUUGUAUUGUUUGUUCCUUCACCGAAGCUGCUACAGCAGGGAUAAAAGGACUCGGACAAAUAUGGGACAAUGGCCCCCCUGGGACCAUAGAUAGCAGGGGGUGCUGUUGUGUGCAUCCUUGGAUGAGCGCCACGUUGCUUUCCCUCUCCCUUCCUUCAUGUCCCAUAUCUGGACUAUCUUUUUUGCCUUUGCUUUUGUCCCAUGUACAGCGUUUUCCAAUUUUUCCCAAAUGACACUGCAAAGUGUGAAAUAGCUCAAAACUGUAGUGUCCUAGGCAAAAAUUUUGUAAUGAAAAAUGGAAAAAUUGUGCCA